UGCGGGGCCCAUCCCGUAAGGCUAAAUACUCCCGAGAGACCGAUAGCGAACCAGUACCGUGAGGGAAAGGUGAAAAGAACCCCGAGCAGGGGAGUGAAAUAGACCCUGAACCCGUCUGCCUACAAGCGGUCGGAGCAUCGUCAAGAUGUGACGGCGUGCCUUUUGCAUAAUGAACCUACGAGUUACCUUCCCCGGCAAGGUUAAGUACCUAAGGUACGGAGCCGAAGCGAAAGCGAGUCUGAAUAGGGCGGCCAGUCGGGGGGGGUAGACGCGAAACCGAGUGAUCUACCCUUGGCCAGGUUGAAGGUUGGGUAACACCAACUGGAGGACCGGAUGGGUAAGCGUUGAAAAGCUUUCCAAUGAGCUGAGGGUAGGGGUGAAAGGCUAAUCAAACUCGGAGAUAGCUCGUACUCCCCGAAAUGCAUUUAGGUGCAGCCUCUUUAUAGUAUAUCGUGAGGUAGAGCGACUGAUUGGAUGCGAGGGCUUCACCGCCUAUCAAGUCCAGAUAAACUCCGAAUGCGCGAUAUAUAUUUACAGGGAGUGAGGGCGCGGGUGCUAAGGUCCGUGUCCGAGAGGAGAAGAAUCCAGACCACCGGCUAAGGCCCCCAAAUGAUCGUUGAGUUGAACUAACGAGGUCGGAUCGCAGAGACAGCUAGGAUGUUGGCUUGGAAGCAGCCAUUCAUUUAAAGAGUGCGUAACAGCUCACUAGUCGAGCGAUCUGGCGUGGAUAAUAAUCGGGCAUAAACGAUCUGCCGAAGCCGUGGAUGUCGUAAGACAUGGUAGGGGAGCAUUCCAUGCGGCGUCGAAGAUGAGGGAUGACCCUUGUUGGAGCGCAUGGAAAAGCAAAUGUAGGUAUGAGUAACGAUAAGGGGGGCGAGAAACCCCCCCGCCGAAAGACCAAGGUUUCCUGAUCAACGCUAAUCGGAUCAGGGUGAGUCGGGACCUAAGGCAAAGCCGAACGGCGCCGCCGAUGGAAGAAUGGGUUAAUAUUCCCAUACUGCCUCAUGGAGUGACGUGGAGACGGAGAAGUGACAGUCCUGCCGGCUGACGGAAUAGCCGGUUGAAGGGUGUAG
rnacentral:rRNA from 1 species